rnacentral:rRNA from 1 species
GAUGAACGCUGACAGAAUGCUUAACACAUGCAAGUCUACUUGAACUUCGGUUUGGGUGGCGGCCGGGUGAGUAACGCGUACAGAACUUGCCUCGCAGAUAGGGACAACAUUUGGAAACGAAUGCUAAUACCUGAUAUUAUACUUUUAUGGCAUCCUAGAAUUAUGAAAGCUAUCUGCACUGUGAGAGAGCUUUGCGUCCCAUUAGCUAGUUGGAGAGGUAACGGCUCACCAAGGCGAUGAUGGGUAGCCGGCCUGAGAGGGUGAUCGGCCACAAAGGGACAGAGAAACGGCCCGUACGCAAACGGGAGGAAGGGGUGGGGAAUAUUGGACAAUGGACCAAGAGUGUGAUCAAGGAAUUCUGUGUGCACGAUGAAGUUUUUCGGAAUGAAAAGUGCUUUCAGUUGGGAAGAAAAAAAUGACGGUACCAACAGAAGAAGCGACGGCUAAAUACGUG